GAGUUUGAUCAUGGCUCAGAUUGAACGCUGGCGGCAGGCCUAACACAUGCAAGUCGAGCGGUAGAGAGAAGCUUGCUUCUCUUGAGAGCGGCGGACGGGUGAGUAAUGCCUAGGAAUCUGCCUGGUAGUGGGGGAUAACGCUCGGAAACGGACGCUAAUACCGCAUACGUCCUACGGGAGAAAGCAGGGGACCUUCGGGCCUUGCGCUAUCAGAUGAGCCUAGGUCGGAUUAGCUAGUUGGUGAGGUAAUGGCUCACCAAGGCGACGAUCCGUAACUGGUCUGAGAGGAUGAUCAGUCACACUGGAACUGAGACACGGUCCAGACUCCUACGGGAGGCAGCAGUGGGGAAUAUUGGACAAUGGGCGAAAGCCUGAUCCAGCCAUGCCGCGUGUGUGAAGAAGGUCUUCGGAUUGUAAAGCACUUUAAGUUGGGAGGAAGGGCAGUAAAUUAAU
rnacentral:rRNA from 1 species